rnacentral:rRNA from 1 species
GGGACACGUGGUAUCCUGUCUGAAUAUGGGGGGACCAUCCUCCAAGGCUAAAUACUCCUGACUGACCGAUAGUGAACCAGUACCGUGAGGGAAAGGCGAAAAGAACCCCGGCGAGGGGAGUGAAAAAGAACCUGAAACCGUGUACGUACAAGCAGUGGGAGCACGCUUAGGCGUGUGACUGCGUACCUUUUGUAUAAUGGGUCAGCGACUUAUAUUCUGUAGCAAGGUUAACCGAAUAGGGGAGCCGAAGGGAAACCGAGUCUUAACUGGGCGUUAAGUUGCAGGGUAUAGACCCGAAACCCGGUGAUCUAGCCAUGGGCAGGUUGAAGGUUGGGUAACACUAACUGGAGGACCGAACCGACUAAUGUUGAAAAAUUAGCGGAUGACUUGUGGCUGGGGGUGAAAGGCCAAUCAAACCGGGAGAUAGCUGGUUCUCCCCGAAAGCUAUUUAGGUAGCGCCUCGUGAAUUCAUCUCCGGGGGUAGAGCACUGUUUCGGCAAGGGGGUCAUCCCGACUUACCAACCCGAUGCAAACUGCGAAUACCGGAGAAUGUUAUCACGGGAGACACACGGCGGGUGCUAACGUCCGUCGUGAAGAGGGAAACAACCCAGACCGCCAGCUAAGGUCCCAAAGUCAUGGUUAAGUGGGAAACGAUGUGGGAAGGCCCAGACAGCCAGGAUGUUGGCUUAGAAGCAGCCAUCAUUUAAAGAAAGCGUAAUAGCUCACUGGUCGAGUCGGCCUGCGCGGAAGAUGUAACGGGGCUAAACCAUGCACCGAAGCUGCGGCAGCGACGCUUAUGCGUUGUUGGGUAGGGGAGCGUUCUGUAAGCCUGUGAAGGUGUGCUGUGAGGUAUGCUGGAGGUAUCAGAAGUGCGAAUGCUGACAUAAGUAACGAUAAAGCGGGUGAAAAGCCCGCUCGCCGGAAGACCAAGGGUUCCUGUCCAACGUUAAUCGGGGCAGGGUGAGUCGACCCCUAAGGCGAGGCCGAAAGGCGUAGUCGAUGGGAAACAGGUUAAUAUUCCUGUACUUGGUGUUACUGCGAAGGGGGGACGGAGAAGGCUAUGUUGGCCGGGCGACGGUUGUCCCGGUUUAAGCGUGUAGGCUGGUUUUCCAGGCAAAUCCGGAAAAUCAAGGCUGAGGCGUGAUGACGAGGCACUACGGUGCUGAAGCAACAAAUGCCCUGCUUCCAGGAAAAGCCUCUAAGCAUCAGGUAACAUCAAAUCGUACCCCAAACCGACACAGGUGGUCAGGUAGAGAAUACCAAGGCGCUUGAGAGAACUCGGGUGAAGGAACUAGGCAAAAUGGUGCCGUAACUUCGGGAGAAGGCACGCUGAUAUGUAGGUGAAGCGACUUGCUCGUGGAGCUGAAAUCAGUCGAAGAUACCAGCUGGCUGCAACUGUUUAUUAAAAACACAGCACUGUGCAAACACGAAAGUGGACGUAUACGGUGUGACGCCUGCCCGGUGCCGGAAGGUUAAUUGAUGGGGUUAGCGCAAGCGAAGCUCUUGAUCGAAGCCCCGGUAAACGGCGGCCGUAACUAUAACGGUCCUAAGGUAGCGAAAUUCCUUGUCGGGUAAGUUCCGACCUGCACGAAUGGCGUAAUGAUGGCCAGGCUGUCUCCACCCGAGACUCAGUGAAAUUGAACUCGCUGUGAAGAUGCAGUGUACCCGCGGCAAGACGGAAAGACCCCGUGAACCUUUACUAUAGCUUGACACUGAACAUUGAGCCUUGAUGUGUAGGAUAGGUGGGAGGCUUUGAAGUGUGGACGCCAGUCUGCAUGGAGCCGACCUUGAAAUACCACCCUUUAAUGUUUGAUGUUCUAACGUUGACCCGUAAUCCGGGUUGCGGACAGUGUCUGGUGGGUAGUUUGACUGGGGCGGUCUCCUCCUAAAGAGUAACGGAGGAGCACGAAGGUUGGCUAAUCCUGGUCGGACAUCAGGAGGUUAGUGCAAUGGCAUAAGCCAGCUUGACUGCGAGCGUGACGGCGCGAGCAGGUGCGAAAGCAGGUCAUAGUGAUCCGGUGGUUCUGAAUGGAAGGGCCAUCGCUCAACGGAUAAAAGGUACUCCGGGGAUAACAGGCUGAUACCGCCCAAGAGUUCAUAUCGACGGCGGUGUUUGGCACCUCGAUGUCGGCUCAUCACAUCCUGGGGCUGAAGUAGGUCCCAAGGGUAUGGCUGUUCGCCAUUUAAAGUGGUACGCGAGCUGGGUUUAGAACGUCGUGAGACAGUUCGGUCCCUAUCUGCCGUGGGCGCUGGAGAACUGAGGGGGGCUGCUCCUAGUACGAGAGGACCGGAGUGGACGCAUCACUGGUGUUCGGGUUGUCAUGCCAAUGGCACUGCCCGGUAGCUAAAUGCGGAAGAGAUAAGUGCUGAAAGCAUCUAAGCACGAAACUUGCCCCGAGAUGAGUUCUCCCUGACUCCUUGAGAGUCCUGAAGGAACGUUGAAGACGACGACGUUGAUAGGCCGGGUGUGUAAGCGCAGCGAUGCGUUGAGCUAACCGGUACUAAUGAACCGUGAGGCUUAACCUU